UAGAAAAAAGGGUAUGUGAUGUUUUACUA
rnacentral:piRNA from 1 species